UACGGGGGGGGCAAGCGUUGUUCGGAAUUACUGGGCGUAAAGGGCUCGUAGGCGGCCAACUAAGUCAGACGUGAAAUCCCUCGGCUUAACCGGGGAACUGCGUCUGAUACUGGAUGGCUUGAGUUUGGGAGAGGGAUGCGGAAUUCCAGGUGUAGCGGUGAAAUUCGUAGAUAUUCGGAGGAACACCAGUGGCGAAGGCGGCUCACUGGUCCAUUACUGACGCUGAGGUGCGAAAGCGUGGGGAGCAAACAGG
rnacentral:rRNA from 1 species